UACGGAGGGUGCAAGCGUUAAUCGGAAUUACUGGGCGUAAAGCGUGCGUAGGCGGUUCGUUAAGUCAGAUGUGAAAGCCCUGGGCUUAACCUGGGAACUGCAUUUGAUACUGGCGAACUAGAGUUGAGUAGAGGAGAGUGGAAUUUCAGGUGUAGCGGUGAAAUGCGUAGAGAUCUGAAGGAACACCAGUGGCGAAGGCGGCUCUCUGGACUCAAACUGACGCUGAGGUACGAAAGCGUGGGUAGCAAACAGG
rnacentral:rRNA from 1 species